rnacentral:rRNA from 1 species
CUACGGGGGGCAGCAGUGGGGAAUAUUGGACAAUGGGGGCAACCCUGAUCCAGCCAUGCCGCGUGUGUGAAGAAGGCCCUCGGGUUGUAAAGCACUUUCAGUGAGGAAGAACGCCUGGUGGUUAAUACCCAUCAGGAAAGACAUCACUCACAGAAGAAGCACCGGCUAACUCCGUGCCAGCAGCCGCGGUAAUACGGAGGGUGCGAGCGUUAAUCGGAAUUACUGGGCGUAAAGCGCGCGUAGGUGGCUUGAUAAGCCGGUUGUGAAAGCCCCGGGCUCAACCUGGGAACGGCAUCCGGAACUGUCAAGCUAGAGUGCAGGAGAGGAAGGUAGAAUUCCCGGUGUAGCGGUGAAAUGCGUAGAGAUCGGGAGGAAUACCAGUGGCGAAGGCGGCCUUCUGGACUGACACUGACACUGAGGUGCGAAAGCGUGGGUAGCAAACAGGAUUAGAUACCCUUGUAGUC